rnacentral:tRNA from 1 species
ACGAAUUUAGUAUAAUAUUUACAUUAGAUUUAGGUUCUAAAGAUUUUUGUUCGUU